ensembl:snRNA U6 U6 spliceosomal RNA
GUGCUUGCUUCAGCAGCACAGCACAGCAGCAUGUAUACCAAAAUUGGAACAAUUGAGAUCAACAUGGCUCCUGAGCAAGGUUGACAUGCAUGUUCGUGAAGCCUUUCAUGUUUAA